GCCCACAUCUUUGUUUUCUCUAUUUUUGUCAAUGGAAACAAUUAGUACUCAUUACAUGGAAUAAGUAGAACAAUUAAUUAGUAUUGUGAUUAGUUUAUUAUGAACCGUGAAAUUGGUACCAGUUAUUUUGGUGCUAAUGUGUUUCUACUUGAUUUAGUUCAUGUGACAAGCUACUACAAGUUACAUUAUCCUCCACAACUAUUACAUUGUAAUUUUUUUACCUUCAGGAUAUGAACAAAUAGUGAGUGAGAGAGAGAGAGAGAGAGAAGAAAAAGCUUCAUCUUCUAUUUCUUUCUUAGCCUCAUCAUCUUCUGUUUUCUUAUCUGCCUCCUCCUCCUCCUCCUUCUACCUUUUACCUUUGCAAUGGAAGGAGGAGUUGGAAGAAUAUACUUUCUCUCUCUUUGAGGCAGAUGAGAAUAGAACUAUGAUAGAGAUGAAGAUGGAGAUGAUACUGAUGAUAGAGAUAAAGAUGAACACAAUGUUUUGUUUUAAAAAACAGAAACAAAUAGAGAGUAGAAAAGGAAAUCAACCUUCUCCAUCUUAAUUUUAAUCCACACACAUAAACUUGUUGUAAAAAAGAAAAGCAAAAAAAACUCAAAAUUUUCAUUAAACUCCAACCUGGGAAUCACUGUAAUCAUCAUCAUCAUCAUCUUGGUCUUCUCUAUGUUGGAAAUUAUCAUUAUUACAACUUCUAGUUAUCAUCAUCUCCUUGAGGGCAAUGUGAUGGGACGAGCCAGUUUCUUAUUAGUUAAUCUCACAUCAUCAAGUAAAGGAAAAGGUAACAAAGUGAGCGGUGGUGGUAAUGUUUAGAUGUCUGUGCAUGUGGAUCCAAAGGGAUAAUACUAAUGAAUAGAGUAUGAGGACAAGACUGAUUUCUUCUUGCACAUCCCUGUAAAAUUGGCGGCGUUUGUUUCUGACAAUCUCAUUUACACUCUUGGACCAGUUUAACCUCCACCCCUUGAUAGUAUUUGAUGCUAAUCAUUUCAGAAAAUUCAAUACAAUCACAACAAUCAAAAGGGAAAAGAUCAGCAAACCAAUUCAACAAUGAAAUAUCCAAGUUACAUAAAAAAAACAACUCACACAUCGAGCGGGAGACAUUAAAUGCUGAUUAUCAACAUUCAUAUAAAUGGACGUUUUAUCAUUGGGAUUUUUUUCUCUCCACCUCUCAUUCUGCACACUUAUUAAUUCCUGAAUGUUUUUCGGCAAUUGAUAACCUUGAUUAUUGCAAUGGAUAUCGUUUAAUACUGCAAAUAUAUUUAUGCAUUUGAUUGUUAACAAUCAAACAAAAGGAGUUGUAUUAGUUUCCAUUGCAUUUUGACGCUUGAAAGAGUUGAUAACAUUUACAAAACAAAGCAUUAAAUGGUUUCACUGGGUUAGUAUUUUUUUUAUUACAGCAAAAGGGUUACAUAAAUUGAGGAGGAUGAAAAAAGGAUGCGGAUGAGGAGGAGAGCCAAGGAUUUAGGAUGAUGAUGGGGAUAAAGGUGAUUGAAUUGAUUCAAAUAAUUUGCAAUUAUGUUAUUACAAUCAUGAUGCUUUCUUGAUUCUUAGGUUAAAUCAAAGUGGAUCCAAAUAUAUUAUAUGUAUGGAAAAGACAAAGCUGAUAAAAAAAACUUAAACAGUUAUGAGCCAAGUGAUGGUAAAACCGAGAGAGAUGGAGGAUAAGGAUGAUAAUGAUGAGUAUGAAGAUGAUGAUGAUUAUGGAGGAAAAGUGUAUAUGCAAAAUGAAAAAAAAAGGUAAGUGACAUAAAGUGUGUUUGCAUACCAUUAGAUUUAUAUACAGUUACUUAUGAUAGUUUAUGAGUAUUUUUUGUACUUUACGAGUUUGUGUUGUUUUUAUCAACUAAACAGAAUAUUUUCCCUCUUCUUUUUUAUCAUCAUCUGGGAGGGAGAGAUGAUAGAUAAAUAUCAUUUGAAGGUGGGUUAGGAUGAUGAUGAUGAUGUUGCAAUGAUAUCAAUUGAUGUUGCUCAUUUUAUGAGCCAUUUGAGGCUCAAUUUGAAAAGGUAAACUUUUUUUACUAAAAAAGUGUUUGCAAUUGAUGCUUAGGAUGAAUAUGAUGGUGUUGAUGAUGAAGAGAAAGAGGAAGAUGAUGAUGAUGAUGAUAAAGAUGUAAAAAUCUAUUGAAUCUGAAAUUUAAAUUUUCUCUGUAUCUUUACUUACGAUUUAUUUAUAAAUGAUCAUUUGACUUUUUCUUUCUUCUUCUGCAUGAUAUUCAAUGUUUCAUGGGUUUCAUUUAGAUUAUCUCAUCAUCAUAUUUUUCAUAUGAUUAUUAUUACUAUUUGAAGUUAUGUAAAUGAUGAUGAUGAUGAUGAAGAUAAUCAUGAAUGAAACAUUUGUAACAUGUAAAUGUUUCAUUCAUUUUCCUAUUCAAUUUCAUGCAACACUGAAUAGUUACCAUGGGAAAAAUAUAUAUAAAUGUUGAAACAACUAUCAAGACUCUCACCUUUUGUUGUAUCAUGUAACCUCCUCCAUUAAGAUUAAUAAUAAUAUAAUGAUAGUUCAUGGUAAUCAUGAUGUUAUCAUGAGGGGAAGAGGAUGAAGAAAAAAAAGUAAAACAAUAAAUAAUCAGAAUUUUUGAAUUCUCGAGAAAGUAAAAGGUUCUAAUGGAAUCAAAAAUAACGAUAACAAUUGAAUCUAUUGUGGGUGUUGGUUCAAUGAACAAUGACUUUAUCAGAAAAGCUUCAUGAAGAUGAUGAAGAAAAAGAUAUUAUGUAAUAAAAUAUGUUGAUGAAGAUGCUGAUAAAAAAGGAUGAAAGGGUGAGCAGGAAGAGUUGGAAAAAAAAGUGAGAGAUGCAAAUCAUUAUGAUGAUAAGGGAGAGAGAGAGAGAGUGAUGAAGAUAAUCUGAAAAGUUGGAAAGAUAACAUUGGAAAUGAGAAUGAUGAAGAUGAAAUUGAUGAUGAAUAUGAUAAUAAUGAUGACUAAAGAUGAAAAAGAUGAGGGAGUAAUUUUUAAAGAUGAUGAUGCUAAAUUUGUCAUUGGAAAGUCCUUGAUGAUGAUGAUUUUUUUUUCUUCUUGCAACUCCAUAAGAUUGAUGUCUUUAUUAAUUGCUUUAAACCAGAAAAGUUAACCAAGUCUAAGGAGAAAGUAGGAAGAGGAAUCAAUAUUAAGUAAUAGUGGGUGGGAAGAGUGAGAGUGAGAGAGAAAGAAACAGUGAGGGAGGGGGAGACUUGAAGUGGCAAUGGAAAAAUAAUCUUCCUCAUCCUUUCCUCUUCCUCUUCUCCCACCAUCAUCAUCAUCACCACCACCAUCACCUCAUCAUCAUUCAGAGGAAGAUAAGAUUGAGUGGAAAAAGAAUGAGUCCUCUCUCACUCACUCACUCUCCUUUUCUCAUCUUCCUCUUUUUAAAUGUAAUAACAACAAUAACAUUUAACUAACUCAUUUAAUUGCAAUAUAUUAUUAUUUUAUCAUUACCUUAACUACUACUCAAUAAUAUCAAGAUAAUUACAUUUUAAUUACAUUAUUAUUAAUAGUUAGUAGUGCACAUUAAUCAAGAUGAUUAACAAAAAUAAAAAGGGGGAGAAACAAAGAUUGAUCCAAAUAAUAGAUUAAUCAAUUUGAUUUUAACUUAAUCAACAAUCAAGAAGUUGAAAAGUUUUCCAAUUCAACGACAAAGGAAAAGGAAAAGGGAAAUUUAAUUGUUAACCAUUGGAAACUGAUGGAAACACAACAAUUUAUAUUAAAGUAAAAUGAUAUUCACAUAAAUUAGUAUCUAUUUUGUCACUUUUAUUAUAUUAUAUUUGAAGAUAAUAUUAUUACUCCCAUAAGAAUCAAUUAUUAUCAUGAUUAUCCCAUUUACAGCUGAUUGUUAAUGUUUACAGAAAACAACAAAGUAAUAUAAUAAAAAUGAUGAUUAUUUUUUGCUGGUUUGUUGAUAAAUAAUAUAAGAGACAACAAUCAACAAUCAACUAAUAAUAAUAACAUUUACUUUAGUUUUUUUCCUUAUUAUUAUCAUUCAAGGUUUGAUUAUUGUUAUUAUGAUGGUGAUGGUGAUGAUUAUGAUUAUUUUAUUAUCACACAUGAGGAUUGAAAAGUUGAUUAGCCAUUAAAAAUGUUAUUAAAUCAAUAGUUUUGGCCCAGUGAAUUAAGUUAUCAUUGAUUGUUAAUGAUUAUCUGUUUAUGAUCAAUUGUAUCAUAAUUUGGGUGUCACAUAACUGAUUUAAUAUCUUUAAUUGUGCUCAUUAGGUUUUGCUUUUUAAAUUAUUGCUCUAUUAUUAUUAUUUACGUUGAUUGUGAUAAUCAUUAUAACGGUAAUUUGAUAUUAUUCAUCAUCAGUUUAGUAGUUGAAUUUUUUUUGAUAAUGAUUAGUGUUGGGACUUUUUUUUCAAUUAGAUUUAAUUGUGUGGGUUUAAUUUAUUUGAUUUAGUUUUUAAUUUGAGUAUUCAUUGGGUUUGUGUUGAUUAUACGAGAUGAUAAUCUAACUGAUUGUUGAGAUUUAAGUUGGUCAUUAGUUAAUUGUGAGGAUUAGCAUUUUUUGUUGUUGUUGUUGUCUGGUUGUGGAUGGACAUUGAAUAAAGGAUGAUGAGGGUAAUGCUGAUGGAGGAUAAAAUUGUUGACAGUUUUGUUGAUUGAAUGUUGAUUGAUGUGAUAUAACAACAAGAUGUGAUUGUGAAUGAUGAUGAGAGAGUGAGAGGGAGGAUAAAAAAGAUGAUGAAGGGAUAGUGUUGAUUGAAUGGACAAUUUGUCCAGUCGAGGAAUGAAAUCUAUUCAUGUGUUGACCAAUGGAUGAGUGGGGAGAGCUGAAAAUCAAUCGACGAGUGAGAAGCAUAAAAAAAGA